rnacentral:rRNA from 1 species
AGCGAACGCUGGCGGCAGGCUUAACACAUGCAAGUCGAGCGGGCCCUUCGGGGUCAGCGGCAGACGGGUGAGUAACACGUGGGAAUGUACCCUUUGGUUCGGAAUAACGCUGGGAAACUAGCGCUAAUACCGGAUACGCCCUUUUGGGGAAAGGCUUGCUGCCGAAGGAUCGGCCCGCGUCUGAUUAGCUAGUUGGUGGGGUAAUGGCCUACCAAGGCGACGAUCAGUAGCUGGUCUGAGAGGAUGAUCAGCCACACUGGGACUGAGACACGGCCCAGACUCCUACGGGAGGCAGCAGUGGGGAAUAUUGGACAAUGGGCGCAAGCCUGAUCCAGCCAUGCCGCGUGAGUGAUGAAGGCCUUAGGGUUGUAAAGCUCUUUUGUCCGGGACGAUAAUGACGGUACCGGAAGAAUAAGCCCCGGCUAACUUCGUG